AAAAGUUUAAAGUUUUUUCAAGUCGUGAAUAAAAGGUGGGUUUUUGAUAUUAAGAUUUUCACUGAUUUUUAAAGAAAAAUUAAAUAGUAUUCAGUAGAAUAGUAGAACAGAUACAGGAGAAUAUCUCUAUUUUUUCUUGGCGUCUGAAACGUCUUGGAUUUUACAAAAAUCCGGCAACGAAAGGAGCUAUCUCAGACGCGUUCACACGUGUAGGCCGGGCAAAUGACACUGAAUGGUGUUUGAAAUAUACAUCUGCGAAUCUCUGGGGAAUUCUCCAACAAGAGAUUUGUAAAAUACUUGAAAUUUAUUGGCUUAUGUAGUGUUUAUUUCGUGAUAAUUGUGAUUUUUUUGAUAACCAGACAUGCACAUUCAAAUUUCUAAUAAAAUUUUCGGUUGCGAAACGCCGGCUUACAAAAUAUUUAGUAUUCGCUUUUUGAAUGUCAAUAUUAAUAUUUUAUUUAAUUUACAGUACACAGAAAUUAGUAUUUUGGGCAUAAAAUGAUGAGGUCUGGAAAUUGUGAUUUUAUUUAUUCAUCCAAUUUAGGGAGCAAAUAUUUUGAUUGUAUCGAGUUUCCUGAAAAAGCGAAUGUUGGAUAACAAGACGCUCUGUUGAGCGUUUAGUCGCUGGGGUAUUAAAAUAAGGCACGUCUUGAUUAGAAUAACUUACGAUAUAUCAUCAACCUCGUACCCAGGGCUUCUGCGCUCGUUGCUCUCUCUUCAUUCUCGUACCCAGAACCGUUCUUACGCGCGGUCAACAGAGUGCGACGAGGGGCUCUGGCCAAAUCCAAACCGGAAACCAUAAAAAACAUGGUAUUAGAACAAUAUCCGGUAUUAGAACGAUAACCUUCGUUGUGGCCAAUCAGAUGCCAGUUUGAUGUGGAUUUGGCCAGAGCCCCUCGUCGCGCUCCGUAAGAAAGGCUCUGGGGACGAGAAUGCUCUAUUCUGACAGCAAUCUCGAAACCAGAGCCUGCAAGCCUCCACAGAAGAUAUGAGAGCAAUAAGUACAGAAACCCUGGGUACGGUGAUUUCAUUGGAUUUAUCUGGCUUAAGCCAACUUCGAGUACAUUGGAAACCAGGAUUCGGCAAUUUUAUUCAAAUUUAUUGCAACUCAACAUUUUGAC
rnacentral:lncRNA from 1 species